rnacentral:rRNA from 1 species
UACGAAGGGGACUAGCGUUGUUCGGAAUUACUGGGCGUAAAGCGCACGUAGGCGGAUUUGUUAGUCAGGGGGUGAAAUCCCGGGGGCUCAACCUCGGAACUGCCUUUGAUACUGCAAGUCUCGAGUCCGAUAGAGGUGGGUGGAAUUCCUAGUGUAGAGGUGAAAUUCGUAGAUAUUAGGAAGAACACCGGUGGCGAAGGCGGCCCACUGGAUCGGUACUGACGCUGAGGUGCGAAAGCGUGGGGGAGCAAACAGG